CUCAAUUUGCUUCUUUUGCUUCGACGAGCGGUAUAUUCUAACUCGCACUAUUAAGGGAAACUCCCACGUUCUUUGGCAUGCCAGUGAAAAGAAAAUGGAGGAGCAAGUAGAAGAAUUGUGUGGUAAAAGACCGCUUUCGAAGAAAAGAUAGGAGGUAUAGUGACCAUGCCUUUCAUCAUAGUUCAAAAAUAAACUAUAUGUGUGAAUUAGAAGUCAGCAUGAAUAGUGUUUUUCCCUGGUUUGCUGAUGAUAUAUUACUUCGGAUAUUGAAAUAUAAAACUCUGAUGGUAAUGAUGUUGGUUGUUUGGUCACCUUACCAGAGUUCGAUUCUUAUUUGGUAUGUUUUUUAGGUUUUUUUUCAUCGUUACCUCAUACUAUGUCUUAUUUGGAAAAUUUCCGGAUUAUAACCAACAUCGUUAAAUUUUCCUACCCGGAAAGUUUCCGCGUAACAAGGGGUUAUGACAAUAGAGAUUAGGAUCAACUGGGACCUUCAAUCAAUUGGUAGGGUGUUCUCACAAAUUGCUACUGCAUAGAGUGAGGUACACCUGGAUAUCUAAAAUCCACCAUAAUGAAUGGGAUGUCCUUUGUGGACAAUUGGGCCUUUGUUUGAAAGUUGCAGCUGAUUGAAAAAUGUGUAUAAUGUUGCAACUGAUUGACCUUAUCCGUCUUUGUCAUGACUGUUGAACUAAAGAGGGAGUGUUUUAAAGUCUCUAAGGUAAUAAAGAAUCUAUCUUUCAUCCAAGCUAAAUUGAUGUUACAUCAGAAUUUUGCUCUAUAUUUCAUUUGAAUUCAUUAUACUACUUAUGAUAUUUGCCAAAAAAAAUUGUAUGCAAUCUUCAUAAUUGCUUUGUUGGAAUGCAAUGGAAUGGGUCAAGAAAAAAAAUACUCCAGUGCAGAAGAUAGAUAAUGAGAAAAGAGAGAAAUGGAAAAGGGAGAGAGAAGUGAAAGGGGUGGUGGCUUGAGGGUCACCACCGUCUCACCACUGUCACACCACCAAGCAUGGUCACCAUCUCGACCGUUUCCCAUGCAAGCAAAAGAAAGAAGGGGUGGUGACUAUUAAUCUAUGAAAUCGACAAUGUCUAACAGCUGCGAGGGAUUCGAUUUGUCGUCGAUUACCAAGAAUAACCGCGAUAAUUGACGAAUGAGGGUUCCGGAAGUGGUGAUGGCCGACCGACAUGAUAGUGGAGGGAAGGCGGCUUCAAAGCAAUCCAAACCACCUCAAGUGAUGAUGUUUUAAAGGAUUAGCGGAUAAGUCAUACCUCAAAGAAGAAAGUUCAGAUGAGGACUUCAGUUUUUUUUCGUUCUAAAAACAUGUUUCUUUUGUCAUUUCUGUUAAUUAAUAAUAUUAUCAUAAUGCCUUCAUCUUUUUGACACAAUGGCUCUACGUGCUUGGAUCAUAAUGGGUUCUGAUUCAGAUCUUCCAGUGAUGAAAGAAAGUGCCAAAGCUUUGAAUGACUUUGACGUGUCGACUGAGAUUAUUCCUUAACUUCUUUUGGUAGAGCUUGCAAAACCUCAAGUGAUGAUGUUUCAAAGGAUUAGCGGAUAAGUCAUGUUCAAAGAAGAAAGUUCAGGGAAGGCGGCUUCAAAGCAAUCCAAACCACCUCAAGUGAUGAUGUUUUAAAGGAUUAGCGGAUAAGUCAUAUCUCAAAGAAGAAAGUUCAGAUGAGGACUUUAGUUUCUUUUCGUUCUAAAAACAUGUUUCUUUUGUCAUUUCUGUUAAUUCAUAAUAUUAUCAUAAUGCCUUCAUCUUUUUGACACAGUGGCUCUACGUGCUUGGAUCAUAAUGGGUUCUGAUUCAGAUCUUCCAGUGAUGAAAGAAACUGCCAAAGUUUUGAAUGACUUUGCCUUAACUCAUUUUGGUAGAGCUUGCAAAAACUGCGGGUUGGGAAGCAGAUCAAAACGAGUAUGUGAAAUCUGUUGGGUCGAUCAGAUUAUGUGACAUCUGAAUAUUGAGUGACCUAUUAGAGUUGCUCAGAGUUGGUCUAAAUAUGAAGUUCUAAACCGGCACAUAAAGUUAGCUAAGAAGUACACGGGUCAAAUGAUCAAAAGUCAUUAACAUUGUAUCUUCAAGGUUAGAGAACAUUCUAAAGUCAUUUUACUAAUUAAUAUUAUUUUCUUAAUGUU
rnacentral:lncRNA from 1 species